UUUCUUGGUCUUUCUGCCCCUGUAUUGCGUCCAUACUUAGCUUUUCUUAGUACCAACAUAUGUUAGAGUUUUCGUGCAACUCAUAUGAUCUCAAAUAUUCCUUCUAAUUUGACUUCCCAUUCAAUAGCCACCGUAGUUCCACUUUCAUUUGUAGUGAUUCCAAUGUUUUGAGAAUGUUUUUACAAGACCAUUUCCUCUGUAGGUCAUUGUGCUUACGUUGAAGCCUAUUUCCUUAUUUCCUCAACUAGUCUUUUGUUGUAGUACUUGGGGAGAACCCUUAAUUCUCGUAAAGUUGUGAGCUUACUACGGACCUUUUGAUGUCCUUCCUUUCCUAUAAUUAUCCGUAGUUACUUACCUCCAUGCCCUUGUGUUUGUUGGGUAGCUUCUGAACUGAUAUUUGUAUAUCUUCCCAAUGGGACUCUUUUUUAUUUCUGUAACACUCAUACGGUGUUUAACUAACCCAACUCCUAUCUGAAUAUUUCUCAUUAUCACAAUGUCAUAUAUGUGAGACUGAAUUCCCCAUGUUGCGUUUCACUCUGUUAUCUUGCAUGAUAUAUUGAUUUGUCUGUAUCCUCUUAUUUAGCCAUAACUAGUCUCUUCCUGAAUCAACUUACUAACUACUCAUCGGCCUAUUGCCAUAUCAAUAUUUGCAUAAUCUUUUUUGGGUUAUUUCGUUUGUCUUAACUUACGUCUUGCACUGGCUUCUUAUAUAUCAAUAACAUCUCACGCAAAGGCCCUUACUUGAUGUCGUGUUUGCAUAAUAUUUUGGAAUUGUAGCAUACAUGUAGGCUUUGAAUAAGUGCAAUCUCAUUUUUAUCGCAUUCUUCCUUUACCAUUCCAUAAUUACUAGAAUCACUUAAUUUUUACUUAAUGCCAGAUCACACCAUAUUCCCCCC
rnacentral:lncRNA from 1 species